rnacentral:rRNA from 1 species
UGGAGGAUGAAGGCCUCUGGGUUGUAACUUCUUUUAUAUGGGACGAAAAAGGGCCUUUCUAGGUCAACUGACGGUACCAUAUGAAUAAGCACCGGCUAACUCCGUGCCAGCAGCCGCGGUAAUACGGAGGGUGCAAGCGUUAUCCGGAUUCACUGGGUUUAAAGGGUGCGUAGGUGGGUWKGUAAGUCAGUGGUGAAAUCUCCGAGCUUAACUUGGAAACUGCCAUUGAUACUAUCAGUCUUGAAUAUUGUGGAGGUAAKCGGAAUAUGUCAUGUAGCGGUGAAAUSCUUAGAUAUGACAKAGAACACCAAUUGCGAAGGCAGCU